rnacentral:tRNA from 1 species
AGGGCAGUGGCUCAAUUGGCAGAGCACCGGUCUCCAAAACCGGCGGUUGAGGGUUCGAGUCCCUCCUGCCCUGCAA